GAUGAAUGAUAGUAUUGAAUCAUUCUUAAUUGAAUUAAGCUAUCAUUCUAGUGAUCUAGUCUAGCUUUUUGAUUUUAAUAAACUUUUUUUUACUCUCAGCCUGCAAUUUUUUGGAGAUGAGGGAUUGAAAGACAACUCAGAUGAAUAGAUCUAGGAAGAGGCACAUUUUGGAGCACCCAACUUGAAGAGCCUCAAAUGGAGCCUACCCUGAGAAAAUCAAGAUGGCAGUUCACUGUGGAGUGACAGUUUAAGGAAAAUGGAUUAAUGCAAGUGCGCUGUGAUAUAUUCAACCAAGACAGGGGUGUUUUUAACAUGGAUUCCAUGCGUUCAGUGAAGAUCUAGGUUUCUGAUCACCUAAGAAAAAUGGACAGUGGAUUUGAUGUUCUACAGACUUUUUGUAUCGUUCAAGGCGAAAUAGAUCCUGGACAUUUUCAAGAAAAAUUAUUAAAAAUAUAACUGGAAAAUAGAUGAGACAAAUGAUUUUUGAUAAGUCAUUUGAUUGUAUAAAGAAUGUUUGUGUUUUUAAUUUUAAUAAAAUUUGUAAUAUUUCUACA